rnacentral:rRNA from 1 species
UACGUAGGGCGCAAGCGUUAUCCGGAAUUAUUGGGCGUAAAGAGCUCGUCGGCGGCCUGUCGCGUCGGAUGUGAAAGCCCGGGGCUCAACCCCGGGUCUGCAUUCGAUACGGGCAGGCUGGAGUGUGGUAGGGGAGAUCGGAAUUCCUGGUGUAGCGGUGAAAUGCGCAGAUAUCAGGAGGAACACCGGUGGCGAAGGCGGAUCUCUGGGCCAUUACUGACGCUGAGGAGCGAAAGCGUGGGGAGCGAACAGG